GAGUUUUCCUGCACAAGCUCUCUCUCUUUGCCUACUGCCAUCCAGGAAGACGUGACUUGCUUCUUCUUGCCUUCCACUAUGAUUGUGGGAAGGCCUCCCCAGUCAUGUGGAACUGUGCUGUGUGAAGAAUGGAAACAUGCAACAAUAAAGACACCAGUCCUGGUGGACCUGAUGGCCUAUGUCUGGUGUGGCGGGGGACAGAUAAGUAAACAGAUCGUCCUAUACGGGGUAGCCAACGCUAUCAUCUGAUAGAAGUAAGCAUGAGGUACCAGUCAAGUAUGCAAGUAUCUGUGCAUGAGAUGCUAGUCAAGUAUUUGUGUGUGCAUGUUUGAAGGCUUCCUGGAAGAGAUCACUGAAACUCUAAGAGUAGGUAGCCAGGUUAAGAAUGGGGGCAGAGCAGGAUAUCUGAGGCAGUGGAAGCAAUUUGAGCAAUGUGUGGAGUGGAGAGAGAACCUGACUUGUUUGAUAAGCUUGGAAGGUUAAGCAUAGCUAGAACAGGGUAUUGGAAGAGUUUUAUAGAGGAAAAGAUGACUAGAGGUAGGCUGCCAGAUGUUCUCUCCCAAAAUAUUUGACCAUCAGUGUAGCAGGGCAGAUAUUAGUGUGAUUAUGAAAACAUAUAUGUGUGUGUGUAUAUACAUAUGUAUGUAUAUUUAAAUGCAUUACAUAUUUCAAUCAGUGAUAUGUGUUUUUCUAGGUAUCUUUUUGGCAUAUUUUUAAGAAACACAUUUCGAAAAUUAAAUGUAGGUGUGAACCCUUCGCCACACCCAAAGAACCAUUCUUGACACUCAUGCAGAACAUUUUAUGCCCCAGUUUGAAUAUCUGACUUUGGUUUAUCUCACUGAUACCUGUAGCCCCUCCAAAGUAGUGGUAGACAGAGCUGAGACAAGAAAUUUCACAGCUUUUUCCUAUUGUGGAACAAACAAUCUGAGUUUAAAACAUAUUGACUUACUGAAUUAAAGUAAGUCACUCCACCUCUUAAAGACUCAGUCACACAUCCAAUUUUCCAGGGGCCUGUGGCCACUGAGUGUCACAGAGUGUGGAAGGCUGUAGGGGCCAGUCCAGAGGAGAGACCACAUGGCCUGAUUGCCCAGUAGAAAUUGAUAUUCACAAAAGAAUGCUGGCUCAAAAAAAUAAAUUGAAAAAAAAAAAAAAACCCCAGCAACACAGUGAACAGGUGGCUUAGUAUGGCUGGCCGUGCUUGCACUUUUUAAUGACCUGAUUUGUUUCCAAAAUUUGUUUUAGGUAAUGUAUUAGUCUGUUCUCAUGCUGCUGUAAAGAACUACCCAAGACUGGGUAAUUUAUAAAGAAAAGAGGUUUGAUUGACUCACAGUUCCACAGGCUGUACAGGAGGCAUGGCUUGGGAAGCCUCGAGAAAUUUACAAUCAUGGCGGAAGGCAAAGGGGAAGCCAGCAUGUCUCACAUGGCAGGAGCAGGAGGAAUAGAGAGCAGGAGGAGGUGCUACACAUUUCAAAAAGCCAGAUCUCAUGAGAACUCACUCACUAUCAUGAGAACAGCAAGGGGGAAGUCCGCCCCCAUGAUCCAGUCACCUCCCACCAGACCCCUCCUCCAACACUGGGAUUACAAUUUGACAUGUGAUUUGGGUGGGGACACAGGGUCAAACCAUAUCAGGUAACAAAACUCCAGUCUCAAAAAUGGUAAGUCAAUUUUAUUGCUAUUAUAAUUCUUAAAACUGGUGUUGAUGAUGAUGAUGAUAGCAGUUAUUUGUACAGUAACAUGCCCAAGACAAAUCCCAAGAGAGGAACAUAAACAAAAUCAAGUGGGGAGAUUUGACUUUGCCCAAGUUCUUCUCAACUAGAAAUUUCUAAAGGUGUUUUGUGUGGAGUGCUGCGCUAUGUGCAGUUUUCAGCUAUUCAACCUCAAGGAUGUCAAAUUGUUGGAAGAGAUUCAAAGAAGGAUAAUCAAACUUGGAUGGAGCUGACUUAAAGAAAUGGGCUAACCUCCAGAAAGAAUGCCAUUGAAUCCAGAGAGAGGUGCCGUUGAAUCAGCCCUUGCUGAUGAAGCCUCUUCACUGUACUGCUCAGACCUCUCCAUCCUGGUGGCAAGGGCUUAGACCAUUAUUCAUGGUCUGACUGGCCUCGAGGUGGCUGUCUCGCCUUUGAAAAAGGGCAGACACAGAGCAUGUUCAGAGCACGGAGCCAUACUGUGCGAUUUCUUCAAAGAGAGCUUAACCACAGAAUUUGGAUUAAUGAAUGACGUAACUGCUUCAGGGCAACACACCCUCACUGCAGCUGCUUAGCCCAGGAAGCAGCAAGGUCAAUACAAGGAGAGCCACAGGCCUGGGGAGAUGCAUGCCUUCCUUCCUGGCCACGUGGAUCUCACUACUUAGCCCAGAUGGCCUGCGAGAAGGACAAAGCCAAGCACUUCACAACACUGUCAGUUGCUGUCCUGAAGAAGGUGGCCAGGAGCUCUAGAAGGAUUCAAAGCCCCAGGGAUUUUUGGUUUUUAUGUAUACACUUCUCUUUACAUACUUGUUCCUCAACAUCCAAUCAGCCUUGCAGGUUUGUCCCCGCUCCUAGCAUUCAGAAACACUCAAGAGCAGGGUGGGUCAGAGCUCUCCACCACAUACGCAGCAGAGUGAAAGAAGCUGCCCUGCAGGACAGCUCCAGGCUCAUGGCCACCCCUCCUCACAUGCAUACCUCCUCCUCUUCCACCAAACAACAACAAACUCCUUCAUGUAGCAUUCACGCCCUCCUCUUGUGGCCUCUACCUGCCAUCCCACACCAAUCCCUUUUUAUGUCCCCACAGGUACCCAGGAGUCUCCCCUAACUAAAUUCCCCACUGCUUCUCCAAAUCACCCCAAUCCUACUUCCCACUGAAACUAACAAGAAGGGAAGGAAGGUGUUAACAAAUGAAGUCUUCGAAGGAAGUCACCCCAAGAAUCUGGGCCUACUAGUCAUUCCCUAAGGCUCAGCUCUUGGCAUUUGCUUCGUUCCCUGGGCCAUUAUUUUCAUACUGUGAAGAAAUUUCACCCUAGUCCCAUUUUGGAGAGCAAGUGUUGGUACAGUGCUGGGUAAAGACCCUGACACCAGGUCCUGGUCCCUGGCCCAGAGCAGGGGAUAUGAAGGGAAGCCCCACUCACUGUGUGCUCCCUCACUGACUCCUCAAAGGAAUUCCAGGAAGGGUGCUUUAGUGACCCUUUGGCUCACAGAGUUAGAGUGACCUGCCCAAGGCCACCCAGAGAAUGAAUGGUGGGACUGAGAUCACACCUGGGCCUGCCUGGCUGCCAAGCCUUUUGCUAUUUUCAUUAUUCCACAUUUCUUUCCAAGGAUACAGAAAGCAGGGAUAGGAAGUGCUGUGGAAACAAGCAAAAAGCCUUAUCCAUAGUCAGCAUCCAAAAAGUACUAUACCUUCUCUGACCCCUGCUUUAUUUAUUUGUUUAUUUUCAGGGAUGAUGUAAUAGCCAGAAAAAUAAGUGAACAGAAGAUUCCGGGUUCUACUUUAUGCCAAUUUUUCUUAAAUAUCUCAGUCACUAGAAAAAGAUCUAUUUGAAAAUCUUGCUCUGAGCAGUUUCUGUCUUGGGCCCAGUUGUUUGAGGAGCCUGUUGAAUUUUUAAAUUUAUUAGUGUUCCCAUGCUUCAUUCAUUGGCAUAUAUGUAUAUUCUCUAUACUUUAUAAUUACAAGUAAGCUCUUGAUAAUAAAAAGUAACUGUCA
rnacentral:lncRNA from 1 species